rnacentral:rRNA from 1 species
UACGUAGGUGGCAAGCGUUGUCCGGAAUUACUGGGUGUAAAGCGCGUGUAGGCGGGAGGCCAAGUCUGCUGUGAAAUCGCCCGGCUCAACUGGGCGGGGUCGGUGGAAACUGGUCACCUGGAGGACGGUAGAGGCGAGUGGAAUUCCCGGUGUAGUGGUGAAAUGCGUAGAGAUCGGGAGGAACACCAGUGGCGAAGGCGGCUCGCUGGGCCGGCCCUGACGCUGAGACGCGAAGGCGUGGGGAGCGAA